rnacentral:rRNA from 1 species
GCGGUGCUCCACAUCGACCUAGAGGAGCCUGUCCUAUAAUCGAUAAUCCACGCAAUACCUCACCACUCCUUGCAGCCCAGCCUAUAUACCGCCGUCGUCAGCCUACCUUAUGAAAGAAAGAAAGUAGGCAAAAUAGUUAAUAACUAAAACGUCAGGUCAAGGUGUAGCACAUGGAAUGGAAGAGAUGGGCUACACUUUCUAAUACAGAAUAUACGGAAAGUUCCAUGAAACUGAGACUAAAAGGCGGAUUUAGUAGUAAGACAAACUAGAAAAUCUAUCUGAACCCCGCUCUGGAGCGCGCACACACCGCCCGUCACCCUCAUCACACUCAAUCUGAUCUAAAAUAUAAAACAUCCAUAAAACAGAUGAGGAAAGUCGUAACAUGGUAAGCGCACCGGAAGGUGUGCUUGGAAUAACAAAUAGUAGCUUAACACAAAGCAUUCAGCUUACAAUUGAAAUAUGUUAGUAAACCCUAACCUUUUUGA